rnacentral:rRNA from 1 species
GACGAGGGACCUAGCGUUGUCCGGAAUUAUUGGGCGUAAAGAGCUCGUAGGCGGCCUGUCGCGUCGGAUGUGAAAGCCCGGGGCUCAACCCCGGGUCUGCAUUCGAUACGGGCAGGCUAGAGUUCGGUAGGGGAGAUCGGAAUUCCUGGUGUAGCGGUGAAAUGACGCAGAUAUCAGGAGGAACACCGAUGGCGAAGGCAGGUCUCUGGGCCGAUACUGACGCUGAGGAGCGAAAGCGUGGGGAGCGAACAGG